rnacentral:lncRNA from 1 species
ACCUGUAUGCCAUACCAGUGUCUUCACACUCUUUGGUUAAGAGGACAACCAACCCAUAUGGUACACAACGACCUAUGCUUGAUAAACAUUGUCAUCCUUGGUAACAAUGUAUCAUUUGGUCGUGAACAGGUUUAAGGACUAAACGAUAAAUCCUCCUUCGUCGAGUCUAAAUAGUCCUAAAAAAUUCACCACAACAUAGAAGU